UACGUAGGAUGCAAGCGUUGUCCGGUUUUAUUGGGUUUAAAGGGUUCGGAGGCGGCCUAUUAAGUUAGUGGUGAAAACGUUCGGCUUAACCGCAUACCCGCCAUUGAUACUGAUAGACUUGAGUGCGACAGAGGGUGUUGGAAUGUGUGGUGUAGCGGUGAAAUGCUUAGAUAUCACGCAGAACACCAAUUGCGAAGGCAGAUGCCUAUGUCGUAACUGACACUGAGGCACGAAAGCGUGGGGAGCAAACAGG
rnacentral:rRNA from 1 species